GGAUGUGAAGGCGAUCUGGUUGUGACAUCUGUCACCCCACUGAUCACCAGGGUUGAUUCAGCUGAUCUGGCUGGCUAGGCGGGUGUCCUCCCUCCCACUGCUCCCUGUGUGUCCCUCUGGGUAUGACCCUCCAUGUGCGUCCCUCCCUGACUGUGCGCACUCAGUCUAAGAGGAUGACCUUCCCUGAUAGAUAAGGAGGACCGUUCUUUGGUCAAGAGUAUACAAAAAGCUGUGCUCUCCUGCUAGAACCUCCCAACAAGGUCCAUUUGUCAGAGAAGGUAGGGUAGUCAAGCUUCCAAGACUCCAGACACAUCCAAACGAGGCGCUGUGUGUGGCAGUCUGCCCUUCGAA
rnacentral:snRNA from 1 species